UUGCUUAUUAUUGCUAAAAUCUGGUUUGUACUAUUUUCUUUGUGCUAAAAUCGAAGUUGGAUGUCUUGAAAUCUGCUGGGUUUUUAAUUUCUUUGAAGGUUAAGUGUUGAGAAUCUCUAUUUGGGCCAUAAAUCUGCUGAAAAUUGAAAUACGAUCUUUGCUUGUGCUAAACCUUGUUGUGUAAUACUAUUUGAGCUUAAAGUUUGUUUUAAUCGGUUGCAUGCUUGAAGAAUUCAACAUUCUUCAUAUUCUGUUAUAGAUGAUCCGGAGGCAAGCAUCUUGAUGCUUUUACAGUUGGCUGUGCCCUUAAUUAAUUGCCUUUCAAAAGCUUUCACUCAGUUAUGCGCAAACUGUUAGGCAAUACUAAUUACUCUCAAAUCUGCAUCUUUACUAUUGUGCAUAGCAUUUAUCUAACAAAAAAGUAAAACUCGCUGAAAUCUAUUGAGGAAGUUAAAUAACUUUUGUUUGUUAUGAAAAUUUAUUCAAACAUGUGGGCAUUUUAUGCUAUCCUGCGUUAUUGUUACGUAGAAAUAGAAUCCUGCUUAGUUGCUUCAGCGACGAGUUUUAGCCUUCUCUUUGCUUUAAUAGGAGCUCUAGUGGACAUGGGCAGAGAGCAAGCAGAGCGUAUCAUUCGUAAUGGGAAUAAAGGUACCACUAAUUUGCCUCUUUGUUGGACUGCUGGCACAGAAAAAUCGGUCUCUGACCAGAACCAAGAACCAAUUGGAAUCUGAAUCUUGACAGGUCAGUGGUUUUUAUAUAGUUUAGAUACCAAAUGAGAGAUUUGUUGAAUAUGCUUCGUUCUCAAUUUCAAGUUCUAAUAUUUAUUUAUAAACGUCAUUUCCUAUUCACUAUAAUGGCAGCCUUACUUUUGUACAGUAUUUUGCUCAUACUUUUUGUAAGGCUUAUGGUUAUCUACGUUCAUAAGAAAAAAAAAUGUAGAACCAGUUUGUCUUUGUUCCAGAAAAUAUAAUGUAAACAUAUUUUGGCUUUGACAUGGAUAUCCAGUUGAAAUGAACUUGUAGCACUUGAAGAUUAUCAGCAUUCCAGUUUAACUUUGUUAGUUUGGUUGUGAGUAGACUGUAAAUUUGACCUUUCUUUUCUCUUAGUUGUUAACACAGAAAGCUAUAUAUGUGAAGUAUUUUGUUCUUCUUUGGUUUUCUAAAGCCAUCUACGUACUGUUCUGCAUGUUUCAAGCUAUUGUAAUUACACUUAAGAAUCAUAGAACAUCAUAUUGCUAUAUUUGGGAUAAAUUUAACUGCUCUUCUUUUUGUAAUUAAAUGGUCAGAAAAGUGAACUAGAAAGUAGAAAUGUAGAAUAGUAUGGCUUGAAUUUGUCAAGUAAACUUUUCGCUAGGAGUCUUCAUGCAACAUCCUGAAGUGACUUGUUUUUCUACUUAUUAUUAAGAGGUAUACUUCCAAUAGUAGAAGAUAGGGGACUAUAAAAAAUUGAGGAAGCAUGCCAAAGUCUGCAGGAUGAUCAAAAUUCUUUUGAGAUCAAACAAACUUAAAAGCUUAAGAUGAUUUUUUGUUACAUUUGAUAAGGCUGCGUACAAUAGACCCUUGUGGUCCGGCUCUUCCCCCGACCCCACACAUAGUGGGAGCUUAGUGCACCGGGCUUCCCUUUUUCGUUUGAUAAAUAAUAUACUUCAAUAUGGAUUUUGAAAUUUUGGUGUCAUUAUCAUAGCUCUUUUGCUGCUUUUUCAUCUAAGAGACCCUUCGUCUAAAUUUUCCUUUUUGAAAAUAUUUUCUUCUGUUGUAAAACCUUGCUUCCAACUGGCCCCUCAGCCUUGAGGUUUAGUCCUAAGCAUGUGCUUAAAAGGAUGCUUGGUUACCAUCCGGACAAGAAGAUUGGUAAUCUUUCAUAUUUUGCAUAUGAAUGAAAGGAAGCUUGCUGACAUUUCCUGCAUAUCAACAGUCAUUUUGCAGGACAAUAAAGUAUUUAAUUUACUAUAGCUUGCUGGCUUUUUGUCUUGUACAUACAUGUUCCAGUGACCUCUAUAGUCACGGAACAAAGCUGGAUUGUCGGUACACCAUGCUGCUCGCUGAUUCACCUGUCGUCUCUCAAUCAUCUUAACCAGUAAGGUCUCAUCUGCAAUUUAGUUUCUUCAGUUUUUCUUGUUCUUGCUAUUGCUGCUUAGCAUUUGCGAAGAAACUGCAGGAUUGGUGCAAAAUAAAAAAAAUGAAAAUAGAUUGCCUAUUUAAUUUAAAGUCUUACCUUUGUUCUCGAUAUUGCAUCUGGAAUGCUGAAAAUGUUCUCAUUUCUCUUUUGGAUUUGCUUAUUCUUGGAAAAUUACACCUGGUUAACAAAAAAGUCAACUACAUAGGUAAAAAUGAUCUGUCCCUAAGAACAGGCAAAUUCAUUCAAGGCUACAAUGCCAAAUAAAAAAGAAAACAGGUAUGUGAAAAGAUUUACAAUUUAGUUCUUAUUUGUUAUGUACACUUCCACAUAUUAAGUCUAGAGUGCUGCAAUCUUAUGAAUUUAUGUGUUACCUGUUGUGUAUUGCAAUAUAUUCUAAGAGAAAUGGGACAAAAUGUUGUAAUGAGCAUGACAGAAACAAGAAACGGAUAAAAAGGGAAAUUAUUUUUUCCUCUUCCAAGUGCAUUUGUUUUUUGUAAUUUACAUGUGAAUUCUCCAAAGCGCAGUAGCAAAGAUAAAUACUUGAGGAAUACCAAGAUUUUUUUAAUAUAUCAACUAAAGAAAAUUUUAUUUAGGGCCUGAAGCAACUUCUUGGCAUUGCUGCAAGAUAAUGAAUGAAGACAAUUCAGUUGUUACACCUGUUGGCAGCAUUACUACUGCUACAACUUCUUGGCAUUUUUUUUUUGAUUAAGCACCGGGUGUCCGGGUCUCUUUGAGCCCCGACUAAUCCCGGGGGUGCACAGGCCCUCGGUAAGGAGUUUCCCGCAAGUGCACCACGGGUAAUUCAGGGUUUUACCCCAGUCCGAUGGCCCUCAGAAAUUGUUUGCACCCAGUGGGUUUCGAACUUGAGACCUUGAAAGGGAGCUACAACUUCUUGGCAUUGCUGCAAGAUAAUGAAUGAAGACAAUUCCACAACUGCCAUAACUGCCAUAUAUACUAUUUUCUUCACAGCUGCCAUAUAAUUAGUUUUUUUUUUUUCGUUGGAUAUUAACUACAAUUUCUUUUCAGGUCAUGGAAGAGUUUAUCCCGGAGGAACUUACUUUUGUUAACAGAUUAAUUCUAGACUUCAGCUGCUAGAAUUCAGAUUCCUGCCAAUUGCAACAUAUCUCAUACAUAUGUUGGACUACCUCCAAUCUCUCUGUUUUUGCCUUUCUAGCAAGCCCUGAAUAACUUUGGUCCACAAAUGAAUGUAAUAUACUAUGAAGCAUAUUAUGUUAAUAUUCAGUUUAAUCAUCUUGCCUUUUUUGCAUCUCAGAAGUGAAAAAAUAGGCACGGUCACGGGUCAUCUAGUUUUUUAUGAAGAGCAACUUAGGUAGUCACUUUAACUUAUCCGUAGGCAGCAGACACUUACACUGGUUACUCUAACUCUUGCAGGGUUGGAACCUUCUAAAGAAUGCUCUAAUUCCAUAUUUGAUUCUUUCAAAAGUCAAGUUAAUCCCAAUGGAGUCAACUGGAAAGGAGUCUCAGAAGAUAUAAGAGAUUUUUAUUUUGGAGAAUUCAAGAAGACAUACUAUUGGGACUCUUCCAUCACACAGGCGGUUGUAUCUCCAUUGGGGAGCAUCUCCAGAGACUUAUGGCAGGUGAAAAGAGGGGUAAGAAAACAAAGCAGGCUAACGAGACAACGGUUCCCCGGAGACCACCAGAAAACCUUGCGAUUAGAAUGUUUGAAUGUUAAUGUUUGGUGGAUUUGUGAAUGUUAAUAAUGUUAUCUCCGAGACAUCCUGAACCACUUGAGUUAACCUUUUGCAUUUGUUUCCAAAUAUGUAGCACGGAAUAGUAAUAAUUUUAUUAAAAAUCUAAUUUCAUCAAUAA